rnacentral:tRNA from 1 species
GCGGAAGUGGCGAAACUGGCAGACGCGCUAUCUUGAGGGGGUAGUGGGCAAUGCUCAUGCGGGUUCGAGUCCCGCCUUCCGCACCA